UACGUAGGGGGCGAGCGUUGUCCGGAGUUACUGGGCGUAAAGCGCACGCAGGCGGUCUGCUAAGUUUGGAGUGACAGUUGGUGGCUUAACUGCCAAAGCGCUUCGAAAAACUGACAGACUUGAGGGCUUCAGAGGGACACGGAAUUCCGGGUGGAGUGGUGAAAUGCGUAGAGAUCCGGAGGAACACCAAAGGCGAAGGCAGUGUCCUGGGGAGUACCUGACGCUCAGGUGCGAAAGCCAGGGGAGCGAACGGG
rnacentral:rRNA from 1 species